AGUCGAGCGAACGGACGAGAAGCUUGCUUCUCUGAUGUUAGCGGCGGACGGGUGAGUAACACGUGGAUAACCUACCUAUAAGACUGGGAUAACUUCGGGAAACCGGAGCUAAUACCGGAUAAUAUUUUGAACCGCAUGGUUCAAAAGUGAAAGACGGUCUUGCUGUCACUUAUAGAUGGAUCCGCGCUGCAUUAGCUAGUUGGUAAGGUAACGGCUUACCAAGGCAACGAUGCAUAGCCGACCUGAGAGGGUGAUCGGCCACACUGGAACUGAGACACGGUCCAGACUCCUACGGGAGGCAGCAGUAGGGAAUCUUCCGCAAUGGGCGAAAGCCUGACGGAGCAACGCCGCGUGAGUGAUGAAGGUCUUCGGAUCGUAAAACUCUGUUAUUAGGGAAGAACAUAUGUGUAAGUAACUGUGCACAUCUUGACGGUACCUAAUCAGAAAGCCACGGCUAACUACGUGCCAGCAGCCGCGGUAAUACGUAGGUGGCAAGCGUUAUCCGGAAUUAUUGGGCGUAAAGCGCGCGUAGGCGGUUUUUUAAGUCUGAUGUGAAAGCCCACGGCUCAACCGUGGAGGGUCAUUGGAAACUGGAAAACUUGAGUGCAGAAGAGGAAAGUGGAAUUCCAUGUGUAGCGGUGAAAUGCGCAGAGAUAUGGAGGAACACCAGUGGCGAAGGCGACUUUCUGGUCUGUAACUGACGCUGAUGUGCGAAAGCGUGGGGAUCAAACAGGAUUAGAUACCCUGGUAGUCCACGCCGUAAACGAUGAGUGCUAAGUGUUAGGGGGGUUUCCGCCUCUUAGUGCUGCAGCUAACGCAUUAAGCACUCCGCCUGGGGAGUACGACCGCAAGGUUGAACUCAAAGGAAUUGACGGGGACCCGCACAAGCGGUGGAGCAUGUGGUUUAAUUCGAAGCAACGCGAAGAACCUUACAAUCUUGACAUCCGUUUGACACUCUAGAGAUAGAGCCUUCUCCUUCGGGGCACAAAAGUGACAAGGGGUGCAUGGUUGUCGUCAGCUCGUGUCGUGAGAUGUUGGGUUAAGUCCCGCAACGAGCGCAACCCUUAAGCUUAGUUGCCAUCAUUAAGUUGGGCACUCUAAGUUGACUGCCGGUGACAAACCGGAGGAAGGUGGGGAUGACGUCAAAUCAUCAUGCCCCUUAUGAUUUGGGCUACACACGUGCUACAAUGGACAAUACAAAGGGCAGCGAAACCGCGAGGUCAAGCAAAUCCCAUAAAGUUGUUCUCAGUUCGGAUUGUAGUCUGCAACUCGACUACAUGAAGCUGGAAUCGCUAGUAAUCGUAGAUCAGCAUGCUACGGUGAAUACGUUCCCGGGUCUUGUACACACCGCCCGUCACACCACGAGAGUUUGUAACACCCGAAGCCGGUGGAGUAACCUUUUAGGAGCUAGCCGUCGAAGUGACAAAAAAUGU
rnacentral:rRNA from 1 species